rnacentral:rRNA from 1 species
CCUACGGGCGGCUGCAGUGGGGAAUAUUGCACAAUGGGCGCAAGCCUGAUGCAGCCAUGCCGCGUGUGUGAAGAAGGCCCUCGGGUUGUAAAGCACUUUCAGCGGGGAGGAAGGCGUUAAGGUUAAUAACCUUGUCGAUUGACGUUACCCGCAGAAGAAGCACCGGCUAACUCCGUGCCAGCAGCCGCGGUAAUACGGAGGGUGCAAGCGUUAAUCGGAAUUACUGGGCGUAAAGCGCACGCAGGCGGUCUGUCAAGUCGGAUGUGAAAUCCCCGGGCUCAACCUGGGAACUGCAUUCGAAACUGGCAGGCUAGAGUCUUGUAGAGGGGGGUAGAAGUCCAGGUGGAGCGGUGAAAUGCGUAGAGAUCUGGAGGAAUACCGGUGGCGAAGGCGGCCCCCUGGACAAAGACUGACGCUCAGGUGCGAAAGCGUGGGGAGCAAACAGGAUUAGAUACCCCGGUAGUC